UACGAAGGGGGCUAGCGUUGCUCGGAAUCACUGGGCGUAAAGCGCACGUAGGCGGCUUUUUAAGUCAGGGGUGAAAUCCUGGAGCUCAACUCCAGAACUGCCUUUGAUACUGGGAAGCUCGAGUCCGGGAGAGGUGAGUGGAACUCCGAGUGUAGAGGUGAAAUUCGUAGAUAUUCGGAAGAACACCAGUGGCGAAGGCGGCUCUCUGGGACGGUACUGACGCUGAGACGCGAAAGCGUGGGGAGCGAACAGG
rnacentral:rRNA from 1 species